AUAGAGUCUGGUUUUGACAUGGGCUGUACCCUCGUGAUAGCUCUGAAGCCUCACCCAGAUCUCUCGAGCAGUAGCACAAUCAGAGACACGCUCAAACUCAGGAAGCGAAAGACUCGAGAAAAGAACAGAUCUUGCUCUGCUAUUUGCGUUGUGCCGAUCUUUUUGAUCUUGCGUGGUUCGAGCACGGGGUUCAAGCACAACGAAAGUAGCAUCCUCGCAAAUUUCCCAAACAAGCCAAUCAAUACCCUGGAGAUGGGCAGACAUGCGUAUUUUCCAAUAGGGAUAAUUUGUUCCAUCGAAGAACGGUGGUUUACCGAACCACGCUCCAUGUCGCCUUCGUGGAUCACGGACCGAUUAAGGUGGAAUGAUCCUUAACCGGCUCCGAUACCAAUUGAAGGACCGAAAAAUGGCGACCAGAGGGGGGGUGAAUGGGAGCCUCAAAUUUUCUUUCGAAAAUAUUUGGCCACUGUCCCGAGUUCACCAUCAAACGCGCAACAACUCCAGAACUAGAAUACUCACGCCAACUAGUGACAGAAGUACCUAGAGAAAUUCCUUAGUACUAUAGAAACUCGAAGCAACAGACGAAAUACAAAUUGGAGUCCAAAUAACCAAGAUGUGCACAAAACAGAAAAUCAGGACCAGAGAAAAUUCAUUAGAAAAUCACCAAGAAAAACGGACAGAGUAACGGCUUAAAAAUAGAGCACUCUAUUUUACCAGCGAGAACUGGAUCCCUGUAAAACAAAUUACUGAAUUGGAUUUGCUCGGCACUCAAUGGUGCACGGCCUACCAGUCAGCUACAACACUAACCACACCUGCAGAAGAUGAGAACAUACACAGUAACAUGAUGCACAUCAAACUGAAACUUAUACACUGUGAAGGAAUUGCUCUCCACACACAGGGGAAAAAGAAGCACAGCACAGGCAGAAGCUCAUAUGGCAGG
rnacentral:lncRNA from 1 species